UGAGAAAGCUCUGCCAUUGACCCACCGGAGCUUUUGGCCGCUACCGGAGCUGUUGCCGGGUCGGUCCGGAAUCGCAGCUGCUUCAUUUUGUUGUUUCCGUGAGUAAUUAUGUUUUGAAAUCCUGCGUUAGUGUCACGUACGUGUGUU